GCCCAUUUGGUGAAAUUGGUAAACACGGCAGACUUAAAAUCUGCUCCCUCUGGGUUAUCGGUUCAAGUCCGAUAGUGGGCA
rnacentral:tRNA from 1 species